CCAAUCUCGUGCUAUGUGUACUAAGCCCUAUUUUUACUUUGUGUUCAAUCUUUAAAGGGAUUUCUUUUUCCAGUCUUGUUCAAUUUUAUUUUUUUUAAACAAACUUACACCAAUCAAAUUAUGGUUUUUUUGCUGUUUGUUGCAAUAGUUUUUAGUUUUCCUCUCUAAAUUGAUUGUUUAGGCAGCACUUUAAUUUCUAUGACACAUAUAUAUGUAUGUAAAAUGCUCGAUGUCAUCUUAUUUGCUAAGUAUCCUAGCCGAUCUAUAGGUAUAUUUAACUAAUGCUCGUCUUUUUUGCACAAUUGAAGCACCAGAAACAACAAUCUACCGCUGAAUUAGCUGCCACUACAGAAUGUGGUUCAUCAUCAAGAUGCAGCAAAUUAACACCAUUUGAGCCUGAAUAUGAACAACCUAGAAUGACUCCGAUACGUCGUAAGCCCUUUUUCUCUCUUACCUACAAAUACAUGUACGCACACAUCGUGUUCAUAAAGUUUAGGCAUCUCUACAAGGGAUUUUGUCCUUGCCUUCUAUAUUUUUCAAAUGUAUUACCAUACCUUAAUCCUUGGAAAUGGUUUUUCUCACUUUUGCUAUAUAGUGUUCGAUUAUAUUUCAAAGUGGUGGCGCCAAUAGCUUAUCAUUAAGCCCACAUGUCAUCAAGUGAUUUUGAUGAAUUCUAAUAAAAAAGUAAUAAAAAGGGCACCUGACUUUUUUGCUUCAUUCAUUACACGUCAUACGAUUGUGACAUUACGUUACUGUCCAACUCAUAUUGUAACAUUGGCAUCCUCAAACAUAUGCCUAGUACGCUUAUGUUUUAGGCUACGCCUUUUUCUUGUAAGCCAUAGCCCUCCAUAAAUGGUAGGUUAUCAACAUAUCAUUAAUUAGAG
rnacentral:lncRNA from 1 species